rnacentral:lncRNA from 1 species
CAUAUGCUUCGGAUAUAGGAUCGAUUACAUGUGCUAUAUUCAUCCGUUCUAAAAUUUUCCAAAUGCCUGGGGCAUUAAGAAGGGAAAAGGUUUAGAACUGGAUAUGACUAAAAGGAUUAAACAAUUGUCGAGGACAAUCUAAGGUUUACCAAAGAUUGGUUACUCAAGGACAAUUGGAAGUAUAGUGAUAAUUCUGGAAGGACCAUAUUGACAUAAUCUGUAAGGAGGCAACUCUUGUUCAGAAGUGAUAGUCAAAAUGGAAUCUGGAAAUGUUUCAAAGUUAGAAUUUUCAAUCUGUGUAAGAUUAAGGAAACUUAAUGCAAGAAGGAUAUUUCCAAGGAGUUGAUCUCCUUUGGAAUACUCUGUAAUGAUUGUUGCCAAGUCUUUGUGACUUUGUGCAUAAUCAUUACAAGAGGAUCAAUGCAUAUAAGUUUAGAAUCUAACAGAUUUCAGUAAAUGGCAUGAAUUUGGAAUUCUUGCAUUUGCAGUAAGGAUUUGGGAGUGUGAAAAGAGAAUCAUUGAAGUUAUGUUCAAUUGAUCUAGUUCACAAAGUAAAGAUCAUAGACAAACAUAGUAUGCAUACUUGGUGUGUGGCAUGACUAGUGUUUAAGAAAACAUAGUGUACAUGCUUGGAGCAUGGGACAACUAUUGUUUUAAAUUCAAGAAUAAAGUUGAUAGCUGAAACAGUAUACAAUGAAUAAUGUGUAAUCAUAUGGUGAUAAAUAAAAGGUGUUUUAUUUAUGUUCAAAGGGUUGAUACCAUAUUGGAUUCAAUUAUUAUUGUGUUUCAUUUUGCAUGUUUUGACUUCCCGAAUAAACUGGGUUAUUCUUCCGGAAUGACUAAGUUAUUCAAACCAUCCACAGUCGGUCAUAUGUUGGAAGUAGAUAUGAAUUAAGACUGUCAUGGGUUGGCUUGUAGAGGUCUAAGGUGUUGGACAAAGGGCUACAACACUCAUGAGUGCUCAUAAGUUCUGAGUAUUGGAUUCAACCCGCGCUCAUUGGAAUCACUUCAUGGAUUUUAUCACGAGUGAUCAUGAGACGAUAAUAUCUUAUAUUCUUCAAACCUAGAGAUAUGAGUUGUUACUAUGAGUUGAUAGUACAUUGAUUGCACGAAAACGCAUUUGGUAACUCGGUGCUAUAAAACGUGCCUUUGUGUAUGAUUCAACAAGUAGUAGAACAAGCCAUAUGAGUCGAAGUUUAUCCAUUCCUUUUACCUUCGGGAUAAAAGCGAUAUCUGUGGGCCCCUCGAUGAUUUGAUGAUGACAAAUGGAAGUGCUCGGCCGGGCCAGGACUGAUUUGAUUUGUUCAAUUAGUCAGUCGUCAUAAAUCGGAAAUCGGGAAACAACAAAUGGACAGAGAGAAUGAUUAUAAUCCAUGUCUCAGUCCAUAUGAUAUCUAGAAUGGAGGAAUAUAUGAUCCCUUAUCUAAUGGACAAGUCAUUGACAAAGGUCAGAGUUCAUCUACAAGGUCAGAGUUCGACAGAAGCUUUUGAGAGCUACGAUUGCCAGUUGGUUCCUGAAGUCAUACGCAAUAAUAGUUUUAGACUUAUCCAAGUGGGAGACUGUUGGAUUAAUGUCUAAGUCCAUAACUAUAAUUGGUAAGACUUGACCCGACCCGGCAUGGUCCAUUUGGGUUGCAUACCAUCAUGCACUUGGAUAGACUAUAAUGAGAGAAAUAAGACACUUAUGGUUAUUAAUAUAUUAUAAGUUCUAGUAUAUUAAUAAUAAGAAUAAUAAGAUUAUUUAAUUAGUAUUGAUCAAGAAUUAAUCUAGGAUUAAUUAAGUGAUCAAAAGAAGACUAAUUAAAUAUAUGGGUUGAUUGUGUAAAUCAUCCAUACUUGUAUAGUGGGCUAAUGCUCCAUGGAUAAUCAAGUUGGGCUAAAACCCAUAGGAUGGUCCAUGGAUGCUCCAUGGUGUAUUUGUACCCAUGGAUCCAAGGAAAUGGAAAGCCAUGACAAUUAAGAGUUUACCCUAAUUGUGUAACUAUAUAAGCAUCUUAUUAUUGAGGAAAAAUCGGCCACUAGUGAUAGUGAAGAAAGGGCUAGCCGAUUUUGAAGAGUGUAGAAUUCUCUCAAGUCAUUCCAAGUGUUUUGAUGAUUGUGAUUCCAUUUGAGGUGUCACACUUGGGGCACUAGGCACUCAAGCUUCAUGAAGACUUUCUACAUCAAAGAGGUAUGUAUUCUAUCUUGUUAUAGUCAUUGUUUUGUAUGCUAGAUUAGGAUAAUACCUUGGAAGUUCUUAUUUGCAUGUAUAAUAGAGAAAACAUAGAUCCAAGGUAUUUAGGGUUGCAUGUACACUUAGGAGUGUUAGAAUGCUCAAAACCCAACAGUGGUAUCAGAGCCUAGGCUUGUUUUCUUGUUAUACCUGCAAUAGAAGCUGAAAAAACGAAUCUGGUGCUGUCUGGCCAUCAGACUCGGCGAGUCCAUCAGGAGACUCGACGAGUCCAUGCCUAAAAAGUGAUGAAUUCGAUCCAACUCGCCGAGUUUGUUCAUGCACUCGACGAGUUGGACCCCCAGACAGCAUAUUUUCGAGUUUUUUGGCUAGAAAUGGACUAGGAACAUUACCCUAAGUUGUUUUUGAACUUAUAAACUUGUUUUUGAUGUGGUAAUGUUCAUGCUAAUCCAUUUUCAAAGAUAAUUGUCAAUAGAUUCAUGUUUUGUAUUAGUUUAAGGUUUAGACUAAUUACAUGAAAAAGUUUGAUUUGAAUUAUCUUGUUCUUAUGAGUUGCUUAGAUUAAUAGAAAUGUUGAGUGAAAUAGUUGUUUUCAAUCCAUUUUAAUCUAAGAGUUGAGUAUAAAAUGUGUUUGUGUAACUUGUCCUCAAGUUACAUGAAGAGUCACAUUAAAGACUCAUAAAACUCAUAAAAGUUGGCAAUGGUUACAAAAUGAAGAGUCUUGUGUCAUUGAAUAAUUUUUUUUGACUCCAUAACUUGUCCUCAAGUUAUGGAAGUUCAAGAGUCACUUCAUUAAAGAAAAAUAUGUAACCAUAAUUAAAUCCAUAAGUUAUAAAAUAAAGAAAAAGUUAGUUCUUUUAUUAGUUUAAAGUCUUCCAUAACUUGUCCUCAAGUUAUGGAACUUGAAGAGUUUUUGGAUUAAAACUACUUUAAACACAUAAGUUAUGGAAUUAAUUAGUUUUGAAUAGUUUCAAAACUUGCCCUCAAGUUUUGGAAUUUGAAAAGUUUUCAAGUAUGAAUACUUUAAUUCCAAGUUAGCCCUUAGAAUUUUAAAAGUUAAAAUUCAACCCUUAUACUUUAUAAUAUUAUAAGUUAAUAAUAUAUAUAUGUAUAAGAGUAAAGUCAGUCUUACCGCUAGUACGCCUCAUUCACGAAGCCGGUCUAUAAGGUGGGUAUAAGGUUGUUGCCUAUAAAAUGGCAACUUAAUGGGUGUCCACUCUCACCCACCGCUUGCUUGACUGGUGGAGGGUCGUUAGCCGAACGGGUUUGACAGGACUAGAAUUCUCCCUUCAUUAAAAGUAUUAAUGAUAAUACUAAGUAACUAAACUCUUAAUAAUACCCAAUCUUAGUUACUUAGGAAAAAUGUGAAUAAGGUGCUAAUCCAUGAAAUUACACUUUACACUUUGUCUAAGUCGUUAGUGGAGCGUGUGUGGUUAACCGGCACACUAACUUGGACUUAACAAGGUAGGUAAAGGGUGACUUAAUAUUUAUCAUAGUAUCGAUGGAGCGUGUGUGGUUAACCGGCACAUCGAUUGAGGGGUAAUUUAUUAAGGGUACCAAGUGAUUUGCAUGGUUACUUCACACCUUGUUUUGUGAUCCUCGGCAUCCCAGUCACAAAACCUGAAGGGCACACUCGAGAUUGAAACAUGCCUUUGAAAAGUUCAAUGAAUCUCAAAGAUCUAGGAGUUUCAAAACCAAUUAAAACCUAAUAAUACAUUUCGUUUAUCUUGGUGGAAAUUGGUGAAUCGUCAUUCACCUACCUUCAAAUAUUUUAUAGCUUGGAUUACGGCAUACCUCUUCUAAGUUAUAAAAUAGUUUGUUGGGUCCUAGCCUUAAUAUUUCAUAUUGGGUGUCAUAUUAAGGACUUUAAAUCAACUAUCUUGAAUAUCUCCCAAAAGAUGUCUGGUUUAGACACCUAUGAUCUUCCCAAAUCUCUUGAAACAAGGUUUCCUAAUGAAGAUGAUGUCCCAUGGAUAUCAUACUUCUUCACCUCUUCAAAUUAUUCUCCCUAACCCACAAGUUCUUGAAAAGUUUAAGGUCACUCAGGCCCUAUUAGCAAGGCAAGGUCUAGGUGUGGUCACAUCUUGGAGAUGUAGUCACAUAUUGACAAGCCGGGAGAGUUGGGUGUCAAAGUCUUGAGAAAGUUGGUGGUUCAACCACUUUCUAAGUCACAUAGUGAGUUCCUUUGGGACACCUAUGAAACAGACUAUGACAAGACCCUUAAUGAUCUUAUCUAUUUGCUAAGAUCAACUUCCUAAAACUUUAUGGACAUUGACAAUGAUGACAUUGGAUAUCCAGUAAAGCAUUCUCUUCCCAAUGGAAAGGGAUCGGCCAUAGUCAACUCGGUUGACCAAAUGGUAAAGAGAAAAGCUAAGUCUGUGAUAGUCCCGUGUACCAUUAUCAAAGGGUCCAUAUGUUUAUAUUGCCAAAGGAAGGGGCAUUGGUUGCGAAGCUGCCAAAUUUACCUAAGGAUGUUAAAGUCAAUAAGUUUGACUCUACUUCAGGUAAAGUCCACUAUCUAACUCUGUUAAGUUUCUAUUCUGAGAUUCUUGAUACAUGAUGUGACUGGGUCACAUGGUGAUGUUUUAAGAAUCAAAGAAAAGUGAAGAAACUUAAAGAAAGAAUAUGCUGAAUCUGAUGGCGUAGAUGGAUUUCUAUCGCAUAGUUUGAAGAUCGGAUUCUUGAGCUACUUCUUAGGAGUUAUGAGAUAUUGCUUAGGAAUAGAUAACAACAAGUUUUCAUAUGGAUUGUAAGGAUAAGUUUUUCCGCAAAGUUUUAAAAUAAAAGAAAAUUUUUUUGAUUUUAUUUAUUUUAAAAUAUCCUUACAAUGGCUUUUGAGGAAAAAUUGUUGCUUAUAUGAUUCCAUUAAGAGCAAGAGUGGAAAUAUGAAAUUGAUUCUUUCAUUUGUGGUAAUGUCUAGAUUUACCAAAUAAGGAAAGAUUCUCAUCACCCAAGUUUCAAUUGGACCGGAACUUGGAAUCAUGCAAGUUGUAUAGCAUGAUGAAUGAGAACUUUCAAGUUUUGGAAAAUUAAGACUAAUUACUUGUUCACAUGGAUGUGUGAGUCAAGUAAAGGACUAAGGGAUCGAGUACACAUUCUUGUGCACUGAUUAAGUCCACCACUAAAGAUCGAUAAGAAGAAUCAAAUAAGGCAGAAGGAUAAAAGUUUCUCAAAUCUGAAAAGAUGGGAGAGUACUUUAGUAUCAGUUUUGUGAUCAUCUUAAUGAUUAAGAAACCAUAUCAAAAUUAGUUCUCUAAGGAAAUCUUAGUGCAUUCUUAUGACUAAGAAGAGGAACUUGAAUUGUUGAAAUGGUUAAAUCAAGAAGAUGAGUCAUACUUCGUUCCAAUACAAGUCUUAGAGUCAUACUCCAAGAUUGUCAUUUGAGUGACAUGUCUUAAAGAAGGUUUAAAACACUUGUCAAAUGUAAGAGUAAAAGUUUUCUACUCUUGUACAUUUGAAAUUGGUAAGUUGUGAUGUUUUGGAUAAAACAAAGACCAACUUAGGCCAAUUGGGUAAAGUGUUUUUCUUGAUUAGAAUCCGCACUAUCUCUUGGAUGUUUGACAAGGGAGUCUUAUAUGUCAAGAGGACAGUGGGAGUCUUAAAGGUCUUGAAAGUCUCAAGAAAUAAUCAAGAAUAAAACCUAAAGUUCUUCACUAGCACACGACUUGAGGUUUAUAACCUAUCGUGUUGACAUAUCUGUGCCCAUUCCAGUUAAAGUUGGCUUUGCAUAUGAGUUCUUAGAGUUCUCAGUUUGUUGCAUAACAACUUGGAAGCAAUGGCAGGCCCUUGAGCUGCCAGGUGGCAAGAAGUUAAGAUUGAGUUCAAUCCAUAUGGUUUUGGAUUUGUCAUUAUCUUUGUCUUGUGAUUAUGGUUUGACAAAUUCAUAUGGGUAGGAACUCAUACACCAUAUAAAUCUAAGUGUCAUAAGGUUUCUCUCCGAUUCAUGAAAAUGAUGGUGAGGAAACGCUUUCACUAAGUAGAUUUUACGAAGAUAUCAAUUGUGUUAUUUGCAUUUUCAAAAGUCGUUAGUGGAGCGCGUGUGGUUAACCGGCACACUAACAUGGACUUGUGAGAAAUGGCAAAUGCCUAAGCAAUUGAGACCAUGAUUACGGUAUCCCUUUUCAUGGUUCUUGAAAUUGCUUAGACACACAGGUGAGCUAUCUACGGAAAGGGUGUAUGAAUCUAAAUUUCAGACUGUCCAGCUGAUUUCUGAGUACAUGUCAAAGCUAGUGGGAGCAUAAGUGUUAUGCUAAUAAUCAUCAUGUUAGUGGGAGCAUGAUAAUUAUGAUAAGUAUUGCAAGUUAGCAAUGUUAAUUAUAGAAAACAAAAGUUUCAAUUGGGAAAAAGUUGUUUUGCUAUAAUUAAGGGAGAGGAAAUUAUGCUUCAUCUCAAAUCUAUAAGCUUAGAUCGUGAGGUUUUAAUCAUUUAGUCAAGGAUAUAUAUGAAUUUCAUGUUGGAAUGGCUCAACAUAAGGAAAUUCUGUAUAUGGGUCCAUUAUUUGCGUUCUAAAAUUCGAUUAUGAUUACGGCAUCCCUUUUCAUAAUCUGAAUUAUGAGAACUUGGCAAAUUGAAAUGGAAAUAUUAUAGCAAAAGACUGGUUUAGUCUUUAUGUAAGACAUCAUGAAUCGUGUCCCAUAUGCUUCGGAUAUAGGAUCGAUUACAUGUGCUAUAUUCAUCCGUUCUAAAAUUUUCCAAAUGCCUGGGGCAUUAAGAAGGGAAAAGGUUUAGAACUGGAUAUGACUAAAAGGAUUAAACAAUUGUCGAGGACAAUCUAAGGUUUACCAAAGAUUGGUUACUCAAGGACAAUUGGAAGUAUAGUGAUAAUUCUGGAAGGACCAUAUUGACAUAAUCUGUAAGGAGGCAACUCUUGUUCAGAAGUGAUAGUCAAAAUGGAAUCUGGAAAUGUUUAAAAGUUAGAAUUUUCAAUCUGUUUAAGAUUAGGAAACUUAAUGCGAGAAAGAUGUUUCCAAGGAGCUGAUAUCCUUUGGAAUACUCUAUAAUGAUUAUUGUCAAGUCUUUCUGAUUUUGUGCAUAAUCAUUACAAGUGGAUCAAUGCAUAUAAGUUUAGAAUCUAAUAGAUUUCAGUAAAUGACAUGAAUUUGGAAUUCUUGCAUUUGCAGUAAGGAUUUGGGAGUGUGAAAAGAGAAUCAUUGAAGUUAUGUUCAAUUGAUCUAGUUCACAAAGUAAAGAUCAUAGACAAACAUAGUAUGCAUACUUGGUGUGUGGC